rnacentral:rRNA from 1 species
AUUGAACGCUGGCGGCAGGCCUAACACAUGCAAGUCGAACGGUAACAGGAAACAGCUUGCUGUUUCGCUGACGAGUGGCGGACGGGUGAGUAAUGUCUGGGAAACUGCCUGAUGGAGGGGGAUAACUACUGGAAACGGUAGCUAAUACCGCAUAACGUCGCAAGACCAAAGAGGGGGACCCUCGGGCCUCUUGCCAUCGGAUGUGCCCAGAUGGGAUUAGCUUGUUGGUGGGGUAACGGCUCACCAAGGCGACGAUCCCUAGCUGGUCUGAGAGGAUGACCAGCCACACUUGAACUGAGACACGGUCCCGACUCCUACGGGAGGCAGCAGUGGGGAAUAUUGCACAAUGGGCGCAAGCCUGAUGCAGCCAUGCCGCGUGUAUGAAGAAGGCCUUCGGGUUGUAAAGUACUUUCAGCGGGGAGGAAGGGAGUAAAGUUAAUACCUUUGCUCAUUGACGUUACCCGCAGAAGAAGCACCGGCUAACUCCGUG